UUUUGCUUUCCGGGGCACAUAAUCUUCAGCCGGGCGCUUUUCGGCGGCCCGCGGCUGGCUCUCUGGCUUUGCCUGGGAGGCUGGCUUGCCCUCGCCUUGUGGCUUGCCCUCACCUUCGGACCUGCCCUGCUUUUCCUGGCUUCCCUCAUCUUCCAGUUGUCCCUCAUCACCUGGCUCUCCCUCAUCCUCUCUCUUUCCCUCGCAUUCUGUCUUCCCCUCCACGUCUGGCUUUUCUUCCUCGUCUGACUUUCCUUCAUCAUCAGGCUCUACUUCAUCUUCUGGCUUUCCCUCGUUUUCCAGGUUUCCUUCAUUUUUAUUGUAGGGUUUUUCCAUGUCGAGAUUUCCC
rnacentral:lncRNA from 1 species